UCAUUUCAACUAAUUUUAAAGAUGGCAAUUGGUCCACGUUUACCGUACUAAUUAUUAACUGAAGAAAUUAAAGGAAAAAAAAUGGUGAUUUGGACUAUAAUUCAACUUUUAAGAUGGUAGAGAGCCAUUAACUGUAGAUUUAGUAUUAUGAUAAAAAGAUCUUAGAAGAAAAUAAUGAGAAAUGAAAAGAUAUAUCAUGGG
rnacentral:lncRNA from 1 species